GUCUCUGUAGAACAAUGGUUGGCGCGUUGAACUUCUACUCCAAAGGUCGUGGAUUCGAUUCCUACCUGGGAUG